UACAGAGGUCUCAAGCGUUGUUCGGAUUCAUUGGGCGUAAAGGGCGCGUAGGCGGUCGUGAACAAGUCACUUGUGAAAUCUCCGGGCUUAACUCGGAGCGGUCAAGUGAUACUGUCGGACUAGAGUACAGAAGGGGCAACUGGAAUUCUCGGUGUAGCGGUGGAAUGCGCAGAGUAUCAGGAAGAACACCGGUGGCGAAGGCGGCUCUCUGGGCCUUACCUGACGCUGAGGAGCGAAAGCCGUGGGUAGCGAACAGG
rnacentral:rRNA from 1 species